rnacentral:rRNA from 1 species
AACAGGAUUAGAUACCCUGGUAGUCCAUGCCGUAAACGAUGAGUGCUAGGUGUUGGAGGGUUUCCGCCCUUCAGUGCCGGAGCUAACGCAUUAAGCACUCCGCCUGGGGGGUACGACCGCAAGGUUGAAACUCAAAGGAAUUGACGGGGGCCCGCACAAGCGGUGGAGCAUGUGGUUUAAUUCGAAGCUACGCGAAGAACCUUACCAGGUCUUGACAUCUUGCGCCAACCCUAGAGAUAGGGCGUUUCCUUCGGGAAUGCAAUGACAGGUGGUGCAUGGUCGUCGUCAGCUCGUGUCGUGAGAUGUUGGGUUAAGUCCCGCAACGAGCGCAACCCUUGUUACUAGUUGCCAGCAUUAAGUUGGGCACUCUAGUGAGACUGCCGGUGACAAACCGGAGGAAGGUGGGGACGACGUCAGAUCAUCAUGCCCCUUAUGACCUGGGCUACACACGUGCUACAAUGGACGGUACAACGAGUCGCGAACUCGCGAGGGCAAGCAAAUCUCUUAAAACCGUUCUCAGUUCGGACUGCAGGCUGCAACUCGCCUGCACGAAGUCGGAAUCGCUAGUAAUCGCGGAUCAGCAUGCCGCGGUGAAUACGUUCCCGGGCCUUGUACACACCGCCCGUCACACCAUGAGAGUUUGUAACACCCAAAGUCGGUGGGGUAACCUUUUAGGAGCCAGCCGCCUAAGGUGGGACAGAUGAUUAGGGUGAAGUCGUAACAAGGUAACC